rnacentral:rRNA from 1 species
UCAAGCGAACAAGUGCAUGUGGUGGAUGCCUUGGCGAUCACAGGCGAUGAAGGACGCGGUAGCCUGCGAAAAGCGGUGGGGAGCUGGCAAACGAGCUUUGAUCCACCGAUAUCCGAAUGGGGAAACCCACUCCGAAUGGAGUAUCCAUGACUGAAUACAUAGGUCAUGUGAAGCGAACGCGGCGAACUGAAACAUCUAAGUAGCCGCAGGAAAAGAAAUCAACCGAGAUUCCCAGAGUAGUGGCGAGCGAAAUGGGACCAGCCUGCAUUCUUUAUCUGAACUGUCAGCCGAACACUCUGGAAAGUGUGGCCAUAGUGGGUGAUAGCCCCGUAGGCGAAGACAGAUUGGAAGAACUAGGUAUGCGAAAAGUAGGGCGGGACACGUGAAAUCCUGUCUGAAGAUGGGGGGACCAUCCUCCAAGGCUAAAUACUCGUGAUCGACCGAUAGUGAACCAGUACCGUGAGGGAAAGGCGAAAAGAACCCCGGGAGGGGAGUGAAAUAGAUCCUGAAACCGCAUGCAUACAAACAGUCGGAGCCUCGCAAGGGGUGACGGCGUACCUUUUGUAUAAUGGGUCAGCGACUUACAUUCAGUGGCAAGCUUAACCGAAUAGGGCAGGCGUAGCGAAAGCGAGUCCGAACAGGGCGAUUAGUCGCUGGGUGUAGACCCGAAACCAGGUGAUCUAUCCAUGGCCAGGUUGAAGGCACGGUAACACGUGCUGGAGGACCGAACCCACUAACGUUGAAAAGUUAGGGGAUGAGCUGUGGAUAGGGGUGAAAGGCUAAACAAACCUGGAAAUAGCUGGUUCUCUCCGAAAACUAUUUAGGUAGUGCCUCGUGUAUCACCUUCGGGGGUAGAGCACUGUCAUGGUUGAUGGGUCCAUUGCGGAUUACGUCGCCAUAGCAAACUCCGAAUACCGAAGAGUGCAAUCACGGGAGACAGACAUCGGGUGCUAACGUCCGGUGUCAAGAGGGAAACAACCCAGACCGCCAGCUAAGGUCCCCAAAUAUAGCUAAGUGGGAAACGAAGUGGGAAGGCUAAAACAGUCAGGAGGUUGGCUUAGAAGCAGCCACCCUUUAAAGAAAGCGUAAUAGCUCACUGAUCGAGUCGUCCUGCGCGGAAGAUGUAACGGGGCUAAGCUAUAUACCGAAGCUGCGGAUGCGUGCUUUGCACGCAUGGUAGGAGAGCGUUCCGUAAGCCUGCGAAGGUGCACUGGAAAGUGUGCUGGAGGUAUCGGAAGUGCGAAUGCUGACAUGAGUAGCGAUAAAGGGGGUGAAAGGCCCCCUCGCCGUAAGCCCAAGGUUUCCUACGCAACGUUCAUCGGCGUAGGGUGAGUCGGCCCCUAAGGCGAGGCAGAAAUGCGUAGCUGAUGGGAAGCAGGUCAAUAUUCCUGCACCAUUGUUGAAUGCGAUGGGGGGACGGAUCGCGGAAGGUUGUCCGGGUGUUGGAAGUCCCGGUCCUUGCAUUGGAGAAGGCGCUUUGGCAAAUCCGGGCGCGGAAUUCAAGGGUGUGAGGCCAGUCUCUUCGGAGACGAAGCAACUGGAAGUGGUUCCAAGAAAAGCCUCUAAGCUUCAGUUCAGCAGUGACCGUACCGCAAACCGACACAGGUGGGCGAGAUGAGUAUUCUAAGGCGCUUGAGAGAACUCGGGAGAAGGAACUCGGCAAAUUGGUACCGUAACUUCGGGAUAAGGUACGCCCUGGUAGCUUGACUGGCUCGCGCCAGAAGGGUGAAGGGGUUGCAAUAAACUGGUGGCUGCGACUGUUUAAUAAAAACACAGCACUCUGCAAACACGAAAGUGGACGUAUAGGGUGUGACGCCUGCCCGGUGCCGGAAGAUUAAAUGAUGGGGUGCAAGCUCUUGAUUGAAGUCCCGGUAAACGGCGGCCGUAACUAUAACGGUCCUAAGGUAGCGAAAUUCCUUGUCGGGUAAGUUCCGACCUGCACGAAUGGCGUAACGAUGGCCACACUGUCUCCUCCCGAGACUCAGCGAAGUUGAAGUGUUUGUGAUGAUGCAAUCUCCCCGCGGCUAGACGGAAAGACCCCAUGAACCUUUACUGUAGCUUUGCAUUGGACUUUGAACCGGUUUGUGUAGGAUAGGUGGGAGGCUGUGAAGCGGGAACGCUAGUUUCCGUGGAGCCGUCCUUGAAAUACCACCCUGAUCUGUUUGAGGUUCUAACCUUGGCCCGUGAUCCGGGUCGGGGACAGUGCAUGGUAGGCAGUUUGACUGGGGCGGUCUCCUCCCAAAGUGUAACGGAGGAGUACGAAGGUACGCUAGGUACGGUCGGAAAUCGUGCUGAUAGUGCAAUGGCAUAAGCGUGCUUGACUGCGAGACUGACAAGUCGAGCAGGUGCGAAAGCAGGUCAUAGUGAUCCGGUGGUUCUGUAUGGAAGGGCCAUCGCUCAACGGAUAAAAGGUACUCUGGGGAUAACAGGCUGAUACCGCCCAAGAGUUCAUAUCGACGGCGGUGUUUGGCACCUCGAUGUCGGCUCAUCUCAUCCUGGGGCUGUAGCCGGUCCCAAGGGUAUGGCUGUUCGCCAUUUAAAGAGGUACGUGAGCUGGGUUUAAAACGUCGUGAGACAGUUUGGUCCCUAUCUGCCGUGGGCGCUGGAAGUUUGAGGGGGCCUGCUCCUAGUACGAGAGGACCGGAGUGGACGAACCUCUGGUGUACCGGUUGUCACGCCAGUGGCAUUGCCGGGUAGCUAUGUUCGGAAGAGAUAACCGCUGAAAGCAUCUAAGCGGGAAACUCGCCUCAAGAUGAGACUUCCCCGGGGACUUGAUCCCCUUGAAGGGUCGUUCGAGACCAGGACGUUGAUAGGUCAGGUGUGGAAGCGCAGUAAUGCGUUAAGCUAACUGAUACUAAUUGCCCGUAAGGCUUGAUCCU